UACGUAGGGUGCGAGCGUUGUCCGGAAUUAUUGGGCGUAAAGGGCUCGUAGGCGGACCUGUAAGUUUGACGUGAAAUCUCCACCGCUCACCGGGGAGGGGUCGUUGAAUACUGCAGGUCUGGAGUUCGGCAGAGGACCACGGAAUUCCGCGUGUAGCGGUGAAAUGCGCAGAUAUCAGGAAGAACACCCGUGGCUAAGGCGGCUCUCUAGUACGGUACUGACGCUGAGACGCGAAAGCGUGGGGAGCAAACAGG
rnacentral:rRNA from 1 species